rnacentral:rRNA from 1 species
UGAGGAAUAUUGGUCAAUGGGCGGAAGCCUGAACCAGCCAUGCCGCGUGAAGGAAUGAGGCCCUAUGGGUCGUAAACUUCUUUUGUGGCGGAGCAAUAAGGUCCACGCGUGGGCCGACGAGAGUACGUCACGAAUAAGCAUCGGCUAACUCCGUGCCAGCAGCCGCGGUAAUACGGAGGAUGCAAGCGUUAUCCGGAUUUAUUGGGUUUAAAGGGUGCGUAGGCUGUCCGACAAGUCAGCGGUGAAAGCCCGGCGCUUAACGCCGGAACUGCCGUUGAUACUGCCGGGCUGGAAUGCGGAUGCCGUGGGAGGAAUGAGUGGUGUAGCGGUGAAAUGCAUAGAUAUCACUCAGAACACCGAUUGCGAAGGCAUCUCACGAAUCCGCCAUUGACGCUGAGGCACGAAAGCGUGGGGAGCAAACAGG